GCUAGCGUAGCUUAACUAAAGCAUA
rnacentral:tRNA from 1 species